rnacentral:rRNA from 1 species
GACGAACGCUGGCGGCGUGCUUAACACAUGCAAGUCGAACGGAAAGGCCCUGCUUUUGUGGGGUGCUCGAGUGGCGAACGGGUGAGUAACACGUGAGUAAACUGCCCUUGACUCUGGGAUAAGUUCAGGAAACUGGGGCUAAUACUGGAUAGGAGCUCCUGCUGCAUGGUGGGGGUUGGAAAGUUUCGGCGGUUGGGGAUGGACUCGCGGCUUAUCAGCUUGUUGGUGGGGUAGUGGCUUACCAAGGCUUGGACGGGUAGCCGGCCUGAGAGGGUGACCGGCCACAUUGGGACUGAGAUACGGCCCAGACUCCUACGGGAGGCAGCAGUGGGGAAUAUUGCACAAUGGGCGGAAGCCUGAUGCAGCAACGCCGCGUUCGGGAUGACGGCCUUCGGGUUGUAAACCACUUUCGCCUGUGACGAAGCGUGAGUGACGGUAACGGAUGAAGAAGCACCGGCUAACUACGUG